GUUCCCAAUGAUGCUUGAAACUUUCAAACCAUGCUAAUGCUGAUAAUCCAGUGAUUAUAUUUUGAUUUUUUUUUCUGAGGGAACU